GUGAAUCAUCAAAUUUUUGAACGCAAAUUGCACUCUCUGGUAUUCCAGAGAGUAUGCCUGUUUGAGGAUCAUUUUAAAUAAAAAUCGGGUUGUUUACUGCCUUCCGUGGUGACUCACCGGAUUUGGGGCGGCUUGCCUUCGGUUAAGGGACCUAAAAUGUUGCAUGAUGUUUUUCGAACGUAUUUAAAUGAUGUUACAUACGUUUUCGAUAUCGAAUACUAGGUGUGGUCAGCCUCAUGAUUCGCGCCUAUGAUUUUUCAUCAAAAUGACCUCAAAUCAUGUAAGAGUACCCGCUU
rnacentral:misc_RNA from 1 species